rnacentral:lncRNA from 1 species
GUCCAAGUCCAGUCUGGGUUUUAUAGACCUUGUUGAGAUAUUCUCGCAGGGUAAAGAGUGAAUUCUUGGAAACAGGAAGUGGGGCAUGAAGCAGAAAGUAGCCUUUCCCAAAUCUAUCUCCAAAUCCAGAAGGUGGUUGAAUCUUCCCAGAUCGCACUUCAUCUAUUGGACAUCCUCCCUAUGUCUCUAGCGAGAGCCACUUUUUCUAUGUGCAUAACCAAAAGGGGAUGUCUGAAGACCAUAAGACUACCCUAAGGCCCAAUAGCUCUGUGGAUGGAUCUUCAACAGUGGAACUUAAGUCGAAUUAUACUCUUCCCUAUGUUGCCUUGGUUAUGAUGUUUUAACACAGCGUUAUAAAGGCAAGAUAUCUCAAGCUACAAGAUUGUCACAUGAGAUUCAACAAAGUUAUCG